GUUAUACUCCCUCCGUUCGGAAUUACUUGUUGCGGAAAUGGACGUAUACAUCUAGAUACAUCCAUUUCCGCAACAAGUAAUUCCGAACGGAGGGAGUAUUAA
rfam:Triticum urartu cultivar G1812 contig1234094, whole genome shotgun sequence.